rnacentral:sRNA from 1 species
UGCACAUUGCCACGUUGCAGGCCUUGC